GUCUUCCCAACUUUGAAGUGGUUGAGACUGGAUGAAAGCAUACAGCAGUUUGCGAUCUUUAUGAUGUCACAAGUUGAUCUUUCUAGGGAAGCAGCUAACUUGAGUCGUUUUAUAUACAACUUCCGCAGAUGGAAGGAUGUAUCAUUUCCCAGACCUCUAUAUCCUUUGGUGCAUCCUGCAGUUUUAGUGGAAACCUAUGAAGACGGUGAAAAUAUCUUGCGCUACAUU
rnacentral:misc_RNA from 1 species